UACCGAGCCACCGAGUGGUCGGGACGUUUAUUGGGCCUAAAGCAUCCGUAGCCGGUUCUACAAGUCUUCCGUUAAAUCCAACUGCUUAACAGGUGGGCUGCGGAAGAUACUAUAGAGCUAGGAGGCGGGAGAGGCAAGCGGUACUCGAUGGGUAGGGGUAAAAUCCGUUGAUCCAUUGAAGACCACCAGUGGCGAAGGCGGCUUGCCAGAACGCGCUCGACGGUGAGGGAUGAAAGCUGGGGGAGCAAACCGG
rnacentral:rRNA from 1 species